CAAUCUCAGCUGGCAACUGUGAG
rnacentral:miRNA from 2 species